rnacentral:lncRNA from 1 species
CAAAACGCGGGGGCGAAGUCGAUUUCGGCAUUCGGCGAACCGACGUGAAGUUCUCGGCAAAAUCGGGCCGGGAUAGUUUGGAUUUGGGCGAGGAAGGCUAAAGCCUCUUCGUGAAGCUCGCCGAGAAGAAUUUCCAAAGCCUCUACAUCGAUAAAAAGGUGGGGGGUGUCAUCCGAAACUUUCGAACUCCUUUCUAUGUCUUAGAUUGCAUUUAAUCUCAUCUCUUCAUGUUGCAUUGUAGGAUUGCAUAGCAGCUCCAUUCCUUAUGCUUUCUAAUGGAUGACCUAGUGUACUUGGAACGCUUGGUAACUAGAUAGGUGAGGAUUGGGUCGGAACGUGGAUCCUAUAAUGCUAGAGAUAGAGAUGAACCCGAUGGGGGUAUUGAUGACAUAGAAAGUAGUGUUAUUGUCAAAGAACAAACGAGUGGCAUCCAAAUAUUGAAUGAUAACGAGUGGCAUUAAUGUAGUGUAAAUAACACUAGAGGUCGAUGGACCUAGGGAUAGGUGGAUCCCUUAGAAAAUGCCUUGUGAACAAUGAAUUUAGAAAACUAAAUAGCAUUGCAUGAAUGUCGGGAACCGAUGAUUCCGCGAUAGUCGUUGACCCUUGUGUAGGGCGUCCUCACUUGGAGAGGAUUCGAUUGGGUUAUUGACUCUAGUUGUAGAGCCUCCUCACUUGGAGAGGAUUGGAUUGGGUGUUGACCCUAGUUACAGUGUAUCCUCACUUGGAGAGGAUAGAUCUAGCUCACAGUCUGCGUUUAGGGUGGUAUAGCCAUCCAAUCCCAACAUGGAGGGGAUUGUCGUCGAGUACUCCGGAGUGUCGCGCGACUAGGACCACUUGGAGGUCCGGACCACAUGGAGGUCCGCAGACGGUCCCGGGCUUGGGUGCACUUGGAGCUCCCUCCCCACUUUGGGAUUUGAAGGUGAGUCAUGGGCGAGCCCUAGGGCCUCGCCACAGAUUGGGUAAAUGAAAAAGGUUAAAGGUUUAUAAAUGUCAGUGAACAUUACUAUUCGAACAUGGAUCGAAUUUGUUAGCAUGGUAGCAAACCUUUAUUAUAUGAUGCAUGCAUUCAUAUUCAUGAUUAUGGGCAUAGUAGCAUAGUUUUCCUACUACUGCAUUUACAGCUUUCAGAUACAUAUCUAUCUAUCUAUCUAUUUGUUGUUACUUGUGCCCACUUGGACCUAGUGGGGAGAUCGGCAGAGUCGGCGGCCGAGCCCACUGGGUAUGGAAGAUAGUUCUCACCCCACUCUAAUUCCAGUGGUAGGUUCAGGGCUGCAGAGAGAGGACCGCGGCAAGGGCGUCGCGCCCGACCAGUGAGACCGUGGUAGUAUAGUAGCUUUCCUUUUCGCAUUAGUCACCUAUGUAUUGAGAGAGAUUCAUGUAGGUGAGAUCGGAGAGCUAUGUAUUUUGAGGAUCAAAUGUAUUCAUUUUGGAAAAUGAUGUAAAGGUAAAGAAUGUAACUAUUGUAAUAGUUAGUAAAGUACUCUCUUUAUUUCACUCGUAUAUCUUGUGGAUUACUUGCUCUUCUUGUUGUUGGCACUGUUUGUGCCCUCGUUGAAUGUGUAUAUUUAGAGUUUAAAGUCCUGGGUAAAUUCUUAUACACAUUCCUGUGGUUGAGCCUUGGGCGGGCAGGGGAGGUGCUGUCCGUUCGGCGGUCUGUCGCCGCGGCCGAAUCGCGCCAAAUUGGUAGNCCCUCGUUGAAUGUGUAUAUUUAGAGUUUAAAGUCCUGGGUAAAUUCUUAUACACAUUCCUGUGGUUGAGCCUUGGGCGGGCAGGGGAGGUGCUGUCCGUUCGGCGGUCUGUCGCCGCGGCCGAAUCGCGCCAAAUUGGUAGUGGUUUCGGGGCGGGGCGUGACACAAACAGCCUCUGCUCGCAAAGGCUGCUCUCGGGGACCGGUCCCUCUAGGGACAGACCGGUCCCCGAGCGCGAAAAUUGCCCAGGCAGACUGGGUCAUAUUGGAAGAGUGGAGGGGUUUAUUAGCAAUUGUUACAUG